GCNNGGUCCAGACAGAGGAAGGAUUGACAGAUUGAUAGCUCUUUCUUGAUUCUUUGGGUGGUGGUGCAUGGCCGUUCUUAGUUGGUGGAGUGAUUUGUCUGGUUAAUUCCCGUUAACGAAACGAACUUAACCUGCUAAAUAGGGUACGGGAAUAGGCUUCGGCUGUCCCGUGAUCGCUUCUUAGAGGGACUUUGCGGUUAUAAAUCGCAAGGAAGUUUAAGGCAAUAACAGGUCUGUGAUGCCCUUAGAUGUCCUGGGCUGCACGCGCGCUACACUGAUGCGUUCAUCGAGUUUAUCCUUGGCCGAGAGGCCUGGGUAAUCUUUAGUACGCAUCGUGAUGGGGAUCGAUUAUUGCAAUUAUUAAUCGUGAACGAGGAAUGCCUAGUAUGCGCAAGUCACCAGCUUGUGCAGAUUACGUCCCUGCCCUUGGGUNU
rnacentral:rRNA from 1 species